UUUCUUACUUCUUUUCUUGCUUUCAACAGCUCUUUACCCUUUGCUGUCUGCUUUUUUAAAUUAAAUUUUGUUUUUUGCAAGUGACAUGCUUUUGGUGCUUGGAAUUUUUAAAGAUGAUUACUUUUACUUUGAAGAAAGGUGAGAUCAUUCAUAGGAGCUAUACAUAUUGUUGGUGAUCCUAGAGGAAAAAAAAAAACAUUUAAUAAGAUUUAUGAUAACUUCAAUAAUACUUCAAAACAUUUAAUAAGAUUUAUGAUAACUUCAAUAAUACUUCCUGAGAUAUAAUUAAGGGUAUUUUUAGCCUAAAAAUCUG
rnacentral:lncRNA from 1 species